UACGAAGGGGGCUAGCGUUGCUCGGAAUUACUGGGCGUAAAGCGCACGUAGGCGGAUUGUUAAGUCGGGGGUGAAAUCCUGGAGCUCAACUCCAGAACUGCCUCCGAAACUGGCGAUCUUGAGUUCGGGAGAGGUGAGUGGAACUGCGAGUGUAGAGGUGAAAUUCGUAGAUAUUCGCAAGAACACCAGUGGCGAAGGCGGCUCACUGGCCCGAUACUGACGCUGAGGCACGAAAGCGUGGGGAGCAAACAGG
rnacentral:rRNA from 1 species